rnacentral:lncRNA from 1 species
AACACUGCUUUGUCUUUAUCCUCUUUUUUCACAGGCAUAUGUUUGGUACAGUUUUCUGUUUUCUUUUAAUUUUACUUGCGAUGUUUCGAAUCUCGGAUGGAAGAUUUAACUUUGUUCGUUUAACAUUUUAAGCUAAUUGGCGACAUGUUGUUAGGUUCUCUGUUUUGGUUUCGCUCUUGUCAUGGUUUAAUUUUAAGUUUCU